GUAAACCCGCCGAAAGACGGGGACACAAAGCCAGAUGGGUCUAAGGUCACAAGACUAUGACAGCCGGUUGCCG
rnacentral:ncRNA from 1 species